rnacentral:rRNA from 1 species
UACGAAGGGGGCUAGCGUUGCUCGGAAUUACUGGGUGUAAAGCGCACGUAGGCGGCUUUCUAAGUCAGGGGUGAAAUCCUGGAGCUCAACUCCAGAACUGCCUUUGAUACUGGGAAGCUUGAGUUCGGGAGAGGUGAGUGGAACUGCGAGUGUAGAGGUGAAAUUCGUAGAUAUUCGCAAGAACACCAGUGGCGAAGGCGGCUCACUGGCCCGAUACUGACGCUGAGGUGCGAAAGCGUGGGGAGCAAACAGG